GUGGCUGUCAACAACUCGUCAAUUGUUGAGAUGACAGCAACCUGCCCUUCAAGUGGACCACAGCUUGAAAUAGGCACCAGAACAAGACAGCAGACCUUGUGCAAUGCACUCUCCCACGGGCCUCCCAUUCCAAUUUCCCCUUUUUAAGCCUUUCUCCCCAGCCUAAAGUUUUAAGAGGUUUCUGGAGGCGUAAGGAUUCUAUUUAUGUUUAAUGAACAAAAAAAUUAGUUUCAAUGAAAACUUUAUUUGAAAUGAUGAAUUCAAGCUAUUACCAGCCUCCCAAGUAAGAUGCCAGAGACUUCAAACACUGCUGUUGUUUCUCAAGGAAAAGAUCCAGUUAACAAGGAAUCAUUCUCUCUUCUUCAAUAGCUGCUUACGAAAUAAAAACAUCAGUAGGAGGGGAAGGAGGAAGGAAGGAGAAGAAAGAGGAAGAAUAGGAGGAGAAGAGGAAGAGAGGAAGAAGUGAACAGCCCUCCUGCAUUUUGCAUCAGGUAGAAAAGUCAGUUGAAUGUUGGGAAGAACACAAAUAAAAAUGCAAGAGAACAGCUAUCUUCACAGAUCCCGGAACAAAGGACAAAGGAUAGAACUAAAAGCGCCCCCCACCCGCCGCCCGGCACCAAAGGAGUCAUAUCUGAUUACUUCCUUUGGAAAGGCUAAUCAGAAACUGAAAAGAAUGUAACUGUUUGUGUCUCACCUAUCUGUGACCUGGAAGCUCCCUCCCAGCUUUGAGUCUUCCUGCCUUUGCUUCCAGUUGUUCUGCCUUUCCAGACCCAACCAAUGUACUUCUUAUAUCUAUUGAUUGAUGUCUCAUGUCUCCCUAAAUGUAAAAAUCAAGCUGUGCCCCAACUGCCUUGGGCACAUGCUAUCAGGACCUCCUGAGGCUGUGUCAUGGAUGCGUCCUCAAC